UACAGAGGUCUCGAGCGUUAGGCGGAAUCACUGGGCUUAAAGCGUGUGUAGGCGGAUCGUUAAGUGCCUUGUGAAAUCCCACGGCUCAACCGUGGAACUGCUUGGCAUACUGGCGGUCUUGAGCAGCCUAGGGGCGAGCGGAACAAAUGGUGGAGCGGUGAAAUGCGUAGAUAUCAUUUGGAACGCCAAUGGUGAAAACAGCUCGCUGGGGGUUUGCUGACGCUGAGACACGAAAGCCAGGGGAGCAAACGGG
rnacentral:rRNA from 1 species